rnacentral:lncRNA from 1 species
UAUUGAGGGAUAUAAUUGUGGAAAGAAGAGAUCAGAUUUAUUAAAUCCAAUCAAAUUUGAUCUAAUUCAAUUGUUGAUGCCAAAAUUAAAACUAACAUGCCGAUCUAACUCACGUAUGAGCCAAGAAAAUAAGAACACGUGGUACACCAGGAGUCGGCAAUAAGGCGCCUGAAGGUUGAGAGCGUUUAGGUGAGAACGGUUGAGAAGUGGGGCAUAACUUCCACGAUCAUGGUUACAACCACUCCCCCAACUACUUUCAACAAACUAAUAAUGUGGGUUGAUAUUACUAUAAAUAGUAAUUUCGAAGCCUGCAAUAGGGGUCUUUCUCUCCCCUGAACGAGAAGACCACAGCAUUUUCAAUACUUUCCUUUUCUGCAUUUAUCGUUUUCUAGGAGUAGUCUAUAUGUAAUCUUUUUUACCCGCAUUUACUGCUUUUCUAGAAAUAAUUUUUAAGUUAGAUCUCUAGAGUCUGUAUACCCCACGGGCACACUCUAUUGUAAUCUAGAUUUUCAGAGUCUGUAUGCCCUUCGGGUACACUCUACUUUAUUAAUAUAUGAAGGCAUUCGGCUCUUUCAGCCGACCAAUCACUGUGUUUUCUUCCAUUCGGCUCUUUCGGCCGACCAGUUACUAUAUAUUCCAUCCAUUCGGCUCAUCAGCCGACCCCAGAUCUUGUGUUUUCUGUACAUUCGGCUCAAUCUAGCCUAACUGAUUCUAUAGUAAAUGUUUUCGAACCCGACUAAUCCGAUCCCUCAUCAGCCGAAUCGCUUGAUCUAGUCGAAGGGCGCGAACUUCGAGGGUCAGUACCAUAAGCCGUUUCCAUCCCGACACGUUCCCCUAGGAGGAUCUUUGACAGGGUUAAAGAGAAGGAAAUUCGGCUACCAACAUCAAUAAAUUUAAUUUGCUUAUAUUUCUCAAUAGCGUCACGCUAUAUAUUGUUUGAAUCUCCAUGGACAUAGCUUGAGAAUCACCCAAAAUAUUGCUCUUCUAUGUUCGAAAGUGAUAGCGACAAAUGUAGUUAUCAGAAACAUAAUUCAAAUUUAUUUAAUUCUAUCAAAUUCAGUCGGUAAAUAAUGAUCGAACUUAAUAAAUCUGUCGAUUUAUACACGAUAUUAGUUUCCCAUCUUAUGUUGUCAAACUCGAAUCUCCUUUAAACAUCACUAUGAGUCUCCCAAAUUGUUAUAUCAUUCAAAUUGUUAUAUAUGCGAACACAACAAUAAGAAAAUUUUUGUUCUCUCGAAAAUAUCUUAAAAAAUAGUUUUUGGCUAGAGAAAUACAACUCCAUCUCUUUGGUUUUCAAAACAAAACAUUUUUCUAAAAAAGUUUUUUUUUUAUUUUAGAUUUUAUGAAAUGUUAAUUUUGAAAACUAAAGAAAAAAUAUUUUUCAUGAUUUUUCAAGGAACCAAAUAACCCCUAAUAUACAUUAAAAAAAUGCUAAAUUACAUAAAUCUCUUUAUAACUAUCCGCUUUUUCACUUUUCCUCCCAACUUUCAAAAAUCUGUAUUUUACUCCCUCAACACUUCAAGUUGUUGCAUUUAGCCUCUCUCCAUCAGGUUCUAUAACUAUUCCGUUUAUUUUUUAUAAUUUAUACCGAAAAUAUGCUAAAAAAAGAAGAAAUACACUAAAAAUUAUUUUUUAUAGAAAAAUAAAGAUAAUUUAGUUAUUUUGCUCUCUUUAUUAAUAUCGUACUCUUUGGAAAAUAUUUUUAAAAUUUUAAGGAGGUAAAAUAUAAAUUUUUAAAUGUUGGAAUUAUAUAAUUUAGCCUUAAAAAAAAUUUGUGGGGGGCAACUAAGCAUUUAAUAUCUCCAUUUUUUUUUUUUUUCAAGAUACCUUUCCUUAUAAAAUGUGGAAUUUACAUCCAUGCAUGUGCCAUAAUUGUUCUCUUCCCCAACAUCUAAAAUGUGGGGUAUUUGCAUAUUUGGCUAUUUCUUUCCCUUUUUGAGAACAAUUUUGAAAAUUAAUUUCACAAGUCUAAUUAGUUUCUAUAAAAAUUUAAUUUUUAAUAUUACUUUUUUAUUUUUAAAAAUAAUUCUUUUAUCAAAUUAUGCUAACAGUUAUCAGCACAGUUUUUAAAUUUCGCAGCCACAUAUUUUGUCGUACUGGACUCGACCAGAAUUUCUGUGAAAAAAUACUGUUUCGAAUAUAGCUGAUCUAAUACAUC